AUUGAACGCUGGCGGCAGGCCUUACACAUGCAAGUCGAACGAGAGGCGGACGGGAGAGUAAGGUCUGGGAAAAUGCAUGAGGGAGGGGGAUAACUACUGGAAACGGUAGCCAAUACCGCAUACAGAGAGCUGUGCCCAAAUGGGAUGAGCUCGUUGGUGGGGUAAAGUCUCACCAAGGCGACGAUCCCUAGCUGGUCUGAGAGGAUGACCAGCCACACGGGAACUGAGACACGGUCCAGACUCCUACGGGAGGCAGCAGUGGGGAAUUUUGCACAAUGGGCGCAAGCCUGAUGCAGCCAUGCCGCGUGUAUGAAGAAGGCCUUCGGGUUGUAAAGUACUUUCAGCGGGGAGGCGUUACCCGCAGAAGAAGCACCGGCUAACUCCGUGCCAGCAGCCGCGGUAAUUC
rnacentral:rRNA from 1 species